CGUUGUUACGAACUGCUAUUGAGUGGGCAGUGCCGCUAGCUCAGCGAUCUCAUUUGGGCCAAGUUCUCCCCAAUUGCCCGCAGUCCGACAACAUAAAAUACUAACAUCGAUAACGGUCGUCUCACAACACUAACUUUCUGCGAUCACUAACAAAACGUAAACAAACAAAAAUUUAAAUUCAAACAUUAACUCAGGCGGCGGAAAUUUUUGGACCUUUGAGUGGCCUUUGGUGUCCUGGCCAUUGCGUACCCACCCUACCUAGGAUGUUUCCUCCUACUGUGGGGAGAUGAAAUCAAAGUCGCCGGUGGACUUCCGACCAUAGUACGCCUACGCAUCGCCAAAACCCUCGAAAUUUCCGCCCCUCUCGCAGCCGCUCGUCAACUGGUCUAGCUAUCACUUUAAGUGAUAGCUGCCAGUUAAGGACUCCAGCCGCUCCUGGACUGCUGUUGGUUUUCUUCCUCAUCUGCAGUUUCCAUCGCAAAUCGAGGGACUCGUGCAUCGCGUGUACUUUCAACGGGCCACGAGUACCAAUUAAGUUGUUAAAACCGACAGGAAAUUGGAAACCCACAGACGGAAGAAAAACCCAGGAAUCCGUACACAAUUUACAGACAACAAAAAAAAAUAUUAAUAAAUAAAUUAAUGUUACAAAAAAAACUACAAAGAAAACGAGACUAUUUAUUGGCCAGCAUGUUACUGGACAAGCCUCCCACCAUCCUUAGCUAAUCUCUAGUUCCCGAGUCACCCUUCCCGAUGCAAUUGCAUACGUCUACAAGCCACCGUUCAGAGUGACCGGAAACUAGGCCAGCUCGUCGCCUCAACCAUUUUCAAAAUUUAAUUGUGCGACCAGGGAGCAAUUGACCAGCACUCUGGAAUAGCCUCCCACUUCCUCAGCUUCUCCUUAGUUCGCCAUUCCCCCAUCACGAUGCAAUUGCAACUUCCUUGCAAGCCACCGUUCUGAAGGGCUGACCAACUAAGUCCGCUCCUCGCGAGACGUCGUCGCCUCGACCAGGUAUAUAUAUUUUUUUUUUAAAUUGGGCGCCAUUAUGUUACGAACUGCUAUUGAGUGGGCAGUGCCGCUAGCUCAGCGAUCUCAUUUGGGCCAAGUUCUCCCCAAUUGCCCGCAGUCCGACAACAUAAAAUACUAACAUCGAUAACGGUCGUCUCACAACACUAACUUUCUGCGAUCACUAACAAAAUGUAAACAAACAAAAAUUUAAAUUCAAACAUUAACUCAGGCGGCGGAAAUUUUUGGACCUUUGAGUGGCCUUUGGUGUCCUGGCCAUUGCGUACCCACCCUACCUAGGAUGUUUCAAAAAGGUCUAGCAAUUCAUCAUCGUUAUAAUGGCUUUAAUUAUUCAGGUGAGUACAAUUGACAUUUCGCAUCUAAUUCAUUUCCUCAAAAUCUAUUUGUUCAUCUAACCUCAGAAUCGCCAAUCAACCGCCGUAUCAGUAUAUUUAGCGGUCAAAGCUAAAUUUAAGAACAAGGAAUAGACACUCUCCGACAAAAAUGUUCUGCCGCCCUUGUAUCGGCAGAACUCUCUGGGUUACGCGGCUUAAAUUAAGGUCACCUAAUCCUGAGGAGCUCCAAGGGAAAAGAAGGGACGCCGAAAGGUAUGGGAGAUUUACACACUUGAUUCCUUCAUCCUAAUUAAUUGCGACCCUUUUAUUUUAGCAACCGUCGAUCAAGGGUGAAUCUUUGGAAGGACGCACAAUAGACUUAACAAUAUAAGGUAUUUAAAUUCUUAAAAGCUACACAUUAUUUUAAUUGAUUUUCCUCAAUUUCAGGAAGUGGUGGGUUUGGGCUCGGCCCACCAGAAAAUCGCACCACCAGGAACUCGGAGGCGUAUAGGGACUUUGCUGGCCAACCUCGUGGUACCAGCCGCUCGCGAGGAAAACUGGCCACUAAUUUGGGAGCACCCCAACACGGAACGGACUCACCGGAGAUCUCUAGCAGGUAGCGAGGAUUUGGUCGUUGAUGGUGUGGUUCUUCAAAAGGUUCCUCCAAACGCACGUUCUCCUCAGGGAACUUCGUAGUUGUGUCCCUCCAAAAAAUGUUAUAAUUUUGUGUUGAUCGAAAAACUGUGGCCUCUCCAGAAUAUUUAUAUUUCCAUAUGUUAUAAGUAUAUAUUUGCUCCACAAAAAAUUGUAUUUCCUUCGGCGAAAAAUAACCGU